UCAUUACUGACACUGAGGAACGAAAGCAUGGGUAGCGAAGAGGAUUAGAUACCCUCGUAGUCCAUGCCGUAAACGAUGUGUGUUAGACGUUGGAAAUUUAUUUUCAGUGUCGCAGCGAAAGCGAUAAACACACCGCCUGGGGAGUACGACCGCAAGGUUAAAACUCAAAUGAAUUGACGGGGACCCGCACAAGUAGUGGAGCAUGUGGUUUAAUUCGAAGAUACGCGCAGAACCUUACCAACACUUGACAUGUUCGUCGCGACUCUAAGAGAUUAGAGUUUUCGGUUCGGCCGGACGAAACACAGGUGCUGCAUGGCUGUCGUCAGCUCGUGUCGUGAGAUGUUGGGUUAAGUCCCGCAACGAGCGCAACCCUCACUUUUAGUUGCCAUCAUUAAGUUGGGCACUCUGAAAGAACUGCCAGUGAUAAGCUGGAGGAAGGUGGGGAUGACGUCAAGUCCUCAUGGCCCUUACGUGUUGGGCUACACACGUGCUACAAUGGUAUCUACAACAGGAAGCAAGACUGCGAAGUUAAGCAAAUCCUUAAAAGAUACCUCAGUUCGGAUUGCACUCUGCAACUCGAGUGCAUGAAGUUGGAAUUACUAGUAAUCGUGGAUCAGCGUGCCACGGUGAAUGCGUUCCCGGGUC
rnacentral:rRNA from 1 species